UGGAAUCCAGGAAUCUGCAUUU
rnacentral:miRNA from 2 species